rnacentral:rRNA from 1 species
UGGCGGACGGGUGAGUAAUGCGUAGGGAUCUACCUAGUUGAGUGGGAUAGCCUAGGGAAACUUAGGGUAAUACCGCAUAAGUCUUACGGGAGAAAGCAGGGGACUGUUAAAGGCCUUGCGCGAUUAGAUGAGCCUACGUCGGAUUAGCUUGUUGGUGGGGUAAAGGCCUACCAAGGCGAUGAUCCGUAGCUGGUCUGAGAGGACGACCAGCCACACUGGGACUGAGACACGGCCCAG